CGCCCCCCGGCGGGCGGAGCCCGGCGCCGCGGCCAGGAUUUCCCACCUCGCUCCCGCGACUCCGCUGCGGGUCUGCACACCCGAGGACUCGGUUUGAAACGCCCGCUUAUUUAUUUUCUUGUCGCCUCGCUACAAGAUUCUAUCCUUGUUUGGGCAUGAGUGGGGGGCGGCAGUCUCGUGGGACCGGCGGCAUUCGUCGUUCCUCCUUACGGGGAUAAUUCGAGAAGUGCGGUCCGGGGGUACUUAACCGAAACUAGCAAUCCCAGGCGGUACAAGGCCCUCCAUCGUAGGCAAAGCACUACCUGAAUGUAGAUUUGGGCCAUACGUUGGAAAAUAAGACAUGAGAGUAUGCUCCGAUCAACUUUUACUGUUCACUGGACAACUAUUUUGGGAAUUUGCAGACCUAUAAAGCCCAUCUAUAAAUCUCAAGCAUGUCCACUUUCAGAGAAGAGAAAUGCUGACAACCAUUUAGUCUCUGAGGACAACACUUUUAAAGUGUAACAAUGUGGCAUCCAGAGCUUAUCCAGAUGAGCGGAGAGCAAAUGAAUUUCCUUCUGCUCCCCUGUUGAAGAGGAGAGAAAAAUUCUUCAAGCUGACUCCAUCAUAGGACUGGAGAGAGAUUGGAUGUCAGAGUGAUUGAUGUGCUCCUACUGGAAGAAGGCAAACAUCCAUAUGUGAACUGCCUGUGGGGUUUCCAAGGAAAGGAACGGCAGGCAGCCUCUAUGAGCUUAAAGAAGAUAACUGGGACUUUAGUCCUAUAACCUCAAGGAACAGUAUUCUGUGAACCAUCUGAGAAGCUUGGAAGAGGACCCCAAACUCCAAAUAAGAAGCUCAGUGUGUCUGACACCUUGACUGCAGGCUUGGGAGGUCCUGAGCAGAAGAUCCAGUUCAACAGUGCCUGGACUCCUGAUCCACAAAAACUGAUAACAAAUAUUUAUUGUUUUAAGAUGCUAAGUUUGUAGUCAUUUUUUAUACAGCAACAGAAAACUAAACACACACAUAAACAGUUAUAAGUGCUCACUGUAUAUGAGGCUUUUCAUUAAUAAUCUAUAUUUUAUAAUAGAAUUAGAAUAUAGAUCUGUGAAGCUGAAGACACUCAAUCCUUGCUAGAUUUAAAUCAGGAAAAUCAGCUGAGAAUCAUUCCUUGAUAGAACCUGGAAAACAAGACCCUAUGAGAGACCCUGGGAAUUACAUUAAAUUCACUGUGGUUCCCAGUGUCACUGAAGAGGUUUUCCUUUCAUAGUCAGGUAGUCACCAUACUGUUAAGCAUUUGAACACAUGGGCAACUUCCAGAAUAGUUAUGACAUUGAUAUACCAAUCUCCAAAAUUCCUAGAAUACCAUGUUUUCAUGGUUGACCUUCAAAUCAGUCAGUUCUUUGUAACAUUGAGCCAUAAAGAUAGGGCAAAUACUUAAUGUUUUACAUAUAUUCAGAGAUUGACCCUCAAAAUACAGCCCAGAGAAACUCAAAAGAAUUAACUCUAUUUCUUCAAAUUGUGUGACGCCACCAAGGCCAGAUGACUUCAGCAUUGGGAAGGCAAUAUCCAGCUGUCAUCUUCUUGAUCCUCAUAUGCUACUACUAGCAUCUAGCAUUUACUGAGCAGAUAGUUUUAUUGUCCAGUUUUUAAAGAUAAGAAAAUUGAGGUAUUAGGAAAGUUAAGUUGGUUGCCUAGGGAAACACGAAGAUAUAGCCCAGAUUCACUCCCAGGCAGGCAGAUGCCAGUGUCUGCUCUCUUUACCACCGAAAUAUCCUGCUACAUGUACAAUUUCAAUAAAUAUCUGGACUUACUGGAACAAAACAAAUCAACAACAUUCUUAUUUUCUUUCUUCAGUUUAGAUUAAAUAAUUUAAAUGUCUUCUUAAGAAGCUACAGUUUUUUGAGGCACAGAGGGAUAGGAGGGUAGGUCCUACCAGUUGAGUCACUCAGCCCUAUAGUUG
rnacentral:lncRNA from 10 species